AAGUCGUAACAAGGUUUCCGUAGGUGAACCUGCGGAAGGAUCAUUACCAAAGUAUAUUACUCACCACUUGUGAACACUUACUUGUCCUUGGGAAGGAGAGGAGGAUAACGGGCGUGUUAACUCCCACCCGCCUUCCUGUUACCCGCCUUCCUGUUUUCCUUCCCAGCGGAGCGCCUGCUGACUGCUUGCAGUUGGCGGGUCCACUUUCGCCAAAUGUAUUAACCCACAUGUACAAAGUUGAAACUGGUGUUUGUACCUUUCUCUUUUUGAGAAAUCAAAAAGAUUGACAACUUUUAACGGUGGAUCUCUUGGCUCGU
rnacentral:misc_RNA from 1 species